AAUUUAGUAAGUUAUUUAAACUAUUGAAUUGUGGUUUCAAAAAUAUCAUAAGAUCUAUAUUC
rnacentral:tRNA from 2 species